rnacentral:tRNA from 1 species
GGCCCCGUGGCUCAACGGGAUAGAGCAGCCCCCUCCUACGGGGCAGGUUGCAGGUUCAAGUCCUGCCGGGGUCACCA